rnacentral:rRNA from 1 species
ACGGUCCUAAGGUAGCGAAAUUCCUUGUCAGGUAAGUUCUGACCCGCACGAAAGGCGUAACGAUUUGGGCGCUGUCUCAGCUGUAGACUCGGUGAAGUCUUAGUACCUGUGAAGAUGCAGGUUACCCGCGACUAGACGGAAAGACCCCAUGGAGCUUCACUGCAGGUUGAUAUUGGGAUUUGAUGCAGCAUGUACAGGAUAGGUAGGAGGCAAAGAGAUGGAUACGCCAGUAUUCAAGGAGCCGCUGUUGGGAUACUACCCCUGUUGUAUUGGAUUUCUAACCGGACGACGUAAAGCCGUUGACGGGACAGUGUCAGUCGGGCAGUUUGACUGGGGCGGUCGCCUCCCAAAGAGUAACGGAGGCGCCCAAAGAUACCCUCAGCUUGGAUGGAAACCAAGCGCAGAGUGCAAAGGCAAAAGGGUGUUUGACUGCGAGACCCACAAGUCGAGCAGGGACGAAAGUCGGGCUUAGUGAUCCGGCGGUGCUGAAUGGAAAGGCCGUCGCUCAACGGAUAAAAGCUACCCUGGGGAUAACAGGCUGAUCUCCCCCAAGAGUUCACAUCGACGGGGAGGUUUGGCACCUCGAUGUCGGCUCAUCGCAUCCUGGAGCUGAAGUCGGUUCCAAGGGUUGGGCUGUUCGCCCAUUAAAGCGGUACGCGAGCUGGGUUCAGAACGUCGUGAGACAGUUCGGUCCCUAUCUGUCGUGGGCGCAGGAAAUUUGAGAAGAGCUGUCCUCAGUACGAGAGGACCGGGAUGGACGCAUCAAUGGUGGACCAGUUGUCACGCCAGUGGCAUAGCUGGGUAGCUAAAUGCGGAAGGGAUAAACGCUGAAGGCAUCUAAGUGUGAAACCCACUUCAAGAUGAGAUUUCCCAUUGCGCAAGCAAGUAAGACCCCUUAAAGACGAUAAGGUAGAUAGGUCAGGAGUGUAAGCAUGGUGACAUGUUAAGCGGACUGAUACUAAUAGGUCGAGGGCUUGACCGA